rnacentral:rRNA from 1 species
UGGGGAAUAUUGGACAAUGGGGGCAACCCUGAUCCAGCAAUGCCGCGUGUGUGAAGAAGGCCUGAGGGUUGUAAAGCACUUUCAAUUACAAAGAAAAGUUAAUGGUUAAUACCCAUUAGCCUUGACAUUAGUUUUAGAAGAAGCACCGGCUAACUCCGUGCCAGCAGCCGCGGUAAUACGGAGGGUGCAAGCGUUAAUCGGAAUUACUGGGCGUAAAGCGUGCGUAGGCGGUUUAUCAAGUCAGAUGUGAAAGCCCUGGGCUUAACCUAGGAACUGCAUUUGAAACUGAUAAACUAGAGUAUGGUAGAGGAAAGUGGAAUUUCUGGUGUAGCGGUGAAAUGCGUAAAUAU